UAGAUGAUUGGAUUUUCUAAUAUACUAGAGCAUUCUUUUUUUUUUGGUCGAAACGAAAAAAUUCAUUAAAAAGAUAAACCAGUACAAAAGUUAAGAAAGAAAAUACAACAACAAAAGGCCAAAGCAAAUGUUGAGCUACAACCCAAAACAGUUAAGGAGGCCUAGACAAACUUAAAGUCCAGCAAAAGUAACACAGGCAAAAGCAACAAAGCAACAAAAGAAAACCCUAAUCUUCAACGUUGGAGAGUAGUCCAUUGCACCCAUUCCACUCUCCGUGCUUACACCAAAUUCAAACCCACACACGAACCACAAGAUUAAGCUUAAACUACCGAACCAAAUCGAACCUCCGAGAUACAAAACGCUGAUAACACCACCUACAAAGAGAACCUAGAGACCAAACGAAAAAAUGAAAAAGGGGAGGGUCGAAGGGGUGUGUAAAACACUGUUGUUAUGAUGCAAAUCAUUCCACUUUGUCCAAAUUUUUCGGCAUGCCGGUAUCGCAAGAGGCUGUGAGGUGUGGAUCCAGGGAACCAAUUGAGUCAAGCACUUCAAGAACAAGCUUAUGGUUGAGUAAGGAAUGGGAUAUGGAAAAGCAUGGGAGAGAAAAUUGGGCAGGAGAGAAAUGGGAAAAUGACGAAAAACGCCGGGAACUAGCAAAGGACGCCGGGAAAAUAAGCCACAACCUCACAAUCUAACAGCCAGAGGUAGUGUUUGGAUUAAAACUUGAUUUUUUGGCCCAAGGAUGGCGUCGGCCCAAAAGGAGGCCUGGAGGAAUAGAAGAUCAAGGCCCAGCCGAAACUUGGGAAAGCAGGAAAGGGCCUUUUCUGACUUGAUACAAUUCAUAAGGGCCACUUGCCUACCUACCCAAGGACCAAGUGGUGUAGACUGAUCAGACUGCACAGCCCAUAAAGUACUUUAUGGUGGCAUUACAUGUAAUAAAGCUGAUGAGUCAUCACCCUCAGACCGCAUUCGGGCAAAGCUGUCGCUACAGGAGCCAAACCGAGUCGUCUAUAAAAGGAGGAAGAGAAGACAGGAAUAAGGACACUCAAUCAAACAAACAAAAGCACAAACUCUGCUCAAAAAGCCAGAUUUGCCUUUCAAAACAAAGUUGUAAUCAGCCCAAGCCUUCAUCCCCCGCGGGAUAAUCUUUUCUCCCAACCUCUGUAAUAACUCUGCUACCUUGUUCGAACUUGUUGUAGUAUCGAUUCACCUUUUGUAUUCUCCUUUCCCCUCUCCCCCUCUAAGCUUUCAGACCUUUGACAGAACUACAAAGAUAGGGACCUGCAAGACAAUCAGCCUUAAUUGAUAAGGUUUAAUCUUGCCCGACCUGCUUUGCACUGUCUUUGUCUUCUCUUUCUUUAAAGUCUAGCAAUAUGUUGUAUAUUUCCAGUUAUAUGCAAGUUAUUUCUAGCAAAAUCACGAUGACAAAGCUUUAUCAGUACUUGGAUCCGAUUUGAAUAUAUCUUCAGUGUUUAAAUCAGAUCCAAGUCCUAAGCCCUCAGGCAUGUAAAUCUGAUUAGUUUUAAAGUCCUUGGCCUCAAGGCAUAAAAAAGAACUUUAUGUGGACUUAACCCAUCCACGACAAUCCUUGAUAAACGAGAAGUCCGAAGUUACUUGGGGCGUAAGUAAUCGACCUACCUCUUGGUUUUAUUUCUAUUAUAUCAUGAUUAUCAUAGAACGCUUAAGUAUGGAAUGGAUUCUGAUAGGAAGCCUCAAGGCCUACACCUAAGGCCCCACAAAGGCACUUAUUUGGAUUCAUUCUAUUCUGCGGUCUAGGUGGUUUGAGUAUAAGAACGGACUCUAAUGGGAAGCCUCAAGGCCUACACCUAAGGCCCCACAAAGGCACCUAUUUGGGUUCGCUCUACCUCUCAGACUCGGAUAAUCAGAAAUAUAAUAGUUAUAAGACUCCAACAACCAUAAAGACCAAAUAUAAUAUGCUCAAGUACUGGUUUAGUUUGACAGGAAGCCUCAAUGCCUACACCUAAGGCCCCACAAAGGCACCUGUUAUAUCUAACACGGUUUCUCGGGCAUAUGCAUAUUCACAACUAAAACUUGACAUCCAUUCGACAUCUGCCAUGCUGAAGAUGGCAGUGGCACGCCUGAGCACUAAAAUGUUAACCUUGAUUGCGAGCCUCAAGGCCUACACCUAAGGCCCCACAAAGGCACCUCUCAAAGUUAACGUUGUCCUUCUCUUUCAGCCUUGCCCGAAGAGUCUUGCCCGACGAGACUUGCCCGACAAAGCCUGACAGGAAAGCAGAAGUCCGACAGCAGCCCUCAACCGGCGCCGAACCUCCAGGGGAGCUGUGUGCUCGUCGGCUAGGAAACAUCCCCGACGGGAAUUCCUGCCACGAACAGGUAGUGGAAGGGUAGAUGCCAACAAGAAAGUGGGGAAGAGGAAGAAAGAAGAAAAAGAAAGAAAAACCAGAAAAAAAAAAAAACCAGUAAGGGGAGGGGGAGGUGGUUAUGGGAAGGUUAAGGGACUAGGAGGAGGAAUGGAAAGAAAAAGAGGGAAAGCCGCCGGCCCAAGCCUGAGCAAGGGCCAACGAUGCUUACAAAUGCUGCUAGGUUUUUUUUUC
rnacentral:lncRNA from 1 species